rnacentral:tRNA from 1 species
GGCGCCAUCGUCUAGUGGUUAGGACAUCAGGUUUUCAUCCUGGUAACAGGGGUUCGAUUCCCCUUGGCGCUA